AUUGAACGCUGGCGGCAGGCCUAACACAUGCAAGUCGAACGAGUGGCGGACGGGUGAGUAAUGUCUGGGAAACUGCCUGAUGGAGGGGGAUAACUACUGGAAACGGUAGCUAAUACCGCAUACCAUCGGAUGUGCCCAGAUGGGAUUAGCUAGUAGGUGGGGUAACGGCUCACCUAGGCGACGAUCCCUAGCUGGUCUGAGAGGAUGACCAGCAACACUGGAACGGAGACACGGUCCAGACUACAACGGGAGGCAGCAGUGGGGAAUAUUGCACAAUGGGCGCAAGCCUGAUGCAGCCAUGCCGCGUGUAUGAAGAAGGCCUUCGGGUUGUAAAGUACUGUCAGCGGGGAGGCGUUACCCGCAGAAGAAGCACCGGCUAACUCCGUGCCAGCAGCCGCGGUAAUUC
rnacentral:rRNA from 1 species